rnacentral:lncRNA from 14 species
CCUGGGGAAAAAUAUUGCAUGGGGGCCCUGCUGGGGGGGGGCUGGGUCCUCACGGCCGCCAGCUGCUUCCUGGGGGCUCAGGACCCCGAGGCCUGGGAGGCGGAGCUUUGGGGGGCGGAGCUUGGAGGCCCCACCCCUUCUCCUUCUGGCCCCUCCCCCUCCCCUUCAGACCCCUCCCCUUCCCAUCUUGGCCCCUCCCCUUUAUUUGGCCCCGCCCCCUCUGCCCCCUCCUCUCCCCCAAGCUCCUCCCCCUCCCCUUGUGGCCCCGCCCCCUCAGGCCCCUCCCACUUCCCUGCCCCCUCCCCUUUAAUUGGCCCCUCCCCAUCUGGCCACGCCCCAUCAGGCCCCUCCCAUCCUGGCUCCCCUGAAUCUUCCCAUUCUGACCCCGCCCCCUCAGGCCCCUCCCCCUCCCUUGGCCCCGCCCACCCCGACCCCUCCCGUUCUGACCCCGCCCCUCCAAGCCCCGCCCCCCGCGGGUCCCGCCUCCACCUCCACGGGGCCUUUGCGGGGGCGGGGCCUGAGGGGGCGGGGCCGGACCUGGCGCUGCUGAAGCUCCGCCCCUCGCCCACCUGGGGGCCGCACCUGAGGCCGCUCUGCGCCCCCUACCGGGGGCACCUGGCCACGCCCACCCUGCCCCCGGCCACGCCCACCGCCUACCGGGGCACCUGCUGGGCGCUGCUGCCAGGUGAGGGGGCGGGGCUGGGCUGGGACACGCCCACCAUGGGCCUGGGCGCACCUGGGGGGCACCUGGAUCGCUUUAUGGCACACCUGGGCACACCUGGAUCAUACCUGGGCACCUUGGAUCACUUUUUGGCACACCUAAGGGGUACCUGGGCACACCCGGGGCACACCUGGGCACACCUGGGCACACCUGGAUCACUUUAUGGCACACCUGGGCACACCUGGGGCACACCUGGGCACACCUGGAUCACUUUUGGGCACCUUGGAUCACUUUAUGGCACACCUGGGCACACCUGGGCACACCUGGGAUCACUUUUGAGCACACCUGGGCAUAUCUGGAUCACUUUUUGGCACACCUGGGCACACUUGGGGCACACCUGGAUCACUUUUUUGCACCCUCAGAUCAAUUUUUGGCUCACCUGGGCACACCUGGGGCACACCUGGGUCACUUUGGCACCUUGGAUCACUUUUUGGCACACACCUGGGAUCACUUUUGGGCACCCUCGGAUCACUUUUUGGCACCCCUGGGCACACCUGGGCACACCUGGAUCACUUUUUGGCACCCCGGCUCACUUCUUGGCACACCUGGGGCACACCUGGGCACACCUGGAUCACUUUUUGGCACCCCGGCUCACUUUGUGGCCCCCCCCAGACCCCGGGACCCACCUGGAUCCGCCCGGCCCCCCCGCUCACUUUGUGGCCCACCCCAAACGGCGGACACCCCCAAAAACCCCAAAGUUUCUGCAUCAACGGCACCCACGGCCAGGUCCCCAGACCCCCAAAGAAAACUGCAUUUCGGGGGAAAGCCCAUUUCGAAAAUUCAGGAUUUUCAGGGAAAUUCGGGGAUUUUCAGGGAAAUUCGGGGGAAAUUUGGGGAAUUUUGAGAGAUUUUG